CAGUAGCCGCGGGAAUACGUAGGGUGCAAGCGUUGUCCGGAAUUAUUGGGCGUAAAGAGCUCGUAGGCGGUUUGUCGCGUCUGCUGUGAAAUCCCGAGGCUCAACCUCGGGCUUGCAGUGGGUACGGGCAGACUAGAGUGCGGUAGGGGAGAUUGGAAUUCCUGGUGUAGCGGUGGAAUGCGCAGAUAUCAGGAGGAACACCGAUGGCGAAGGCAGAUCUCUGGGCCGUAACUGACGCUGAGGAGCGAAAGCGUGGGGAGCGAACAGGAUUAGAUACCCGAGUAGUCCCUGUCUCUUAUAA
rnacentral:rRNA from 1 species